CAAAAAAUGUCUUAUAAAUAAAAUAAAAUGGGAAGUUAGUUGUUUAAACAUUCACUACUCUAUACUAGUAUAGUCAUCCUAUCAUAAAAUUAGACACAUUAUUAAACUUACGGGUUAAAAAUGGCAGGGGAAACGAAAAGAGAUGACAACAAAGUUGGCAACAUAUCUGAACUUCUGAUAUCGAGAGACAAACUUAGGGAACUGGCUUUGUUGAUGCACCUACAAGAGGCACAACGCAUACAGAACGUUGAAUUUAGGUCAGUGUAUCACCGGAUACAUUACCUCCGAGACUCUCGAAACACCUACGAGUCGGCAAUCGGAAUCCUGGACUCCGUCGACCAGAUUGAUAUGCGUAAACCAGCUCAUCUUCAACAGGAUGAUGAUAAGGGAUGCUGGAAAAAUAGAUUGCGCUGACAUUAUCAUAAUAAAAAAUUGUGGCCUGACGAAGUGAGAAAUGUAAUUCGAGAAGAAGAUUAUGUAGCCAACACGCUUUGCAACGACAUUUGCUCACCUUGAUGUUCUACCUCCGCGCUUGAUUUAGAAAGAGUAGGCUAACACUUUGAAGACCAGGAAAUAAGGUUGUCCCCCAAAAAACAACAAUAACACGAACUCGAACGACGAGUGUCAAGACACCCACCCCAAUCUGCAUCAGUGUAAGUGAUCAAACACGCAGUACUAGUAGGAUAUAAGUGUAAUGGUACUCUGAAUAUAGCGAAGAGUGCGCUUGAAUGCAUAAAAAUGAGGCUUUCCCGAAUAAAACCUCAGCAGGAGUUUUAUUGGUGAGUGUCUUAGUGGGUAAGAUAAUGAUUAAGUAUGUUGUCAUUUCUAACGAGUAUACCCACUAGGAUGGGGCAGGGAGGCAUGAAAUAGAAAGGUGCGUAACAUAUUAUUUAAGGUAUUAAUCAUGCGUUCGGCCUUACCGUUUUGGGAUGAGGUGUGAGUGCAGUGUUUAAUUGAAACUAGUAACUUUAGGAAAUUAACCUUUUUGAUCUAAUCCUAAUUGCUUAAGGAUUCGAUGCAUGCACGAACUUCAACACACACACGAGCACGGCCCACAAGAGUGCAGGCCAUGCCUGCGCGCGCGGAGAAGCCCACGAGUGGCUUCGCAGCCCAUGAGUGCUCGCAGCCUCGCCUGCUCGCAGCCCGCGUCUUUGCUCGCAGCCAAUGGGCGCGCUGGGCCUGGCCUUGCGCUGGGCCUUGCGUGCCUUUGGCUGCUUGCUGCUCAUGCCUUGCGCGCUGGGCUUGCUAGGCGUGGGCCUGGCUUCAUGCUGGGCCUUCGUCUAGCAAGCUCGUCCGAUGUUUAUUUCGUACGACGCGCUUCCGAUUAAUUUUUUGUUUCCGAAAUUCAUUUCCGAUUUUGACAAUAUUUCCGUUUCCGGCAAUAUUUCCGAUUCCGGCAAUAUUUCCAUUUCCGGUGAUAUUUUCCGAUACAUACCAUGUUUCCGUUUCCGGCAACAUCUACGACUUGGAUAAUAUUUAUAUUUUCGAUACGAUCCAUAUUUCUGUUUCCGGCAAUAUCAUCGUUUCCGGAGUAUUUAUAAAUUUGCCUUUUGACGAUUUCAGCUCCCACUGGAACCGAGUUCCGUCGAUUCCGAAUACCCAUAAAUGGAGUAUUUAAUUCCUUUAAAUACUUGAUCCGUUCACGUACUAUUUGUGUGACCCUACGUGUUCAGUCAAGAGUAAGCUACAGAUUAAUAUUAUUAAUUCCACUUAAACUGAAGCGGCCUCUAGCUAGGCAUACAGUUCACUUGAUCUCACCGAAUUAAUAACUUGUAUAAUUAAUACUGAACCGCAUUUAUUAGACUUAGCAUUAAAUGCAUACUUGGACCAAGGGCAUUAUUUCCUUCAGUCUCCCACUUGUCCUUAGGGACAAGUGUGCAUUUCCUAAUUCCUUUGUCGCUUGAUGCUUGCUCUUGAACAUAAAGUAAGAGUUGUUAUCCUUAUUAUGUCCAGAGGUGUUUCUCGGUUUCAGAGUUCAACUGAUCAAAUAAACAGAUAAUCAUAGCCUAUGAUUCAUUUGAGCACGGCCAUGCAUUUUACAGUUUCUAGCUCUCCGAGUGGCCUUGUACAACUUUCAGCAUCUCAUCCCGAUUUAUGGGAGGACAAUCCCAAUCUUGUGAUCUUGAGAUUAGACUUCGUUUGAUAGGUGAUUACCCGAGCGUUGCCUUUAUAGCCUCCUUUUACGGUGCGACGGUUGACAACGUCAAAGCAACCAGUUCUCAAACAAGUAAUCUCAAAUCACUCAGGUAUUGAGGAUUAGUGUCUAAUAAUUUUAAUGAAAUUUACUUAUGAUAGAUUUUCAUCUCUUACAGUAAAGUUUCAUAGGUUUGUCCGAUACUAGUCUUCCCAAAGUAAGUUUCUAUGCAAAUGAUUGUGACAUUGCCAUGUCCACAUAGUUCAAGAAAUAGAACUACUAGUCAUCUUGCAUUCUAGUCGUCUAACGUUUUCUAUGCGUCCAUCUUUAUAGAAAACUCCGACCAGGGACCAUUUUCAACUUUUGACAUUCAAGUUCACUUGAUAGACAUUUCUUAGUCACAGGACUGGUCCUGACAGUCUAUCUUGAAUAUAUCAUCAAAUUGAAGGGACUCAUCAUUUAAUAAACCACAAAUUAAAUGGAAAAAUAAAUUCUAUUAAUUAAUGUGAAUGGUUAACCAAUAACGUUUUACAAAGUAUUAAACUCUAAAACUUUAAAACAUUAAAUAAGGACAUCAAAGCCAUUCUCCAACAUGCUUGAUUCCCAUAGCUGCAGUGUGCGAGUUGUGCUUUGCCUGCGGCAGAGGUUUAGUUAAUGGAUCUGAGAUGUUGUCGUCAGUUCCAAUCUUGCUUAUCUCGACUUCUUUUCUUUCAACGAACUCUCGUAGAAGGUGAAAUCUACGAAGUACAUGCUUGACUCUCUAGUGUUGUCUAGGCUCCUUUGCCUGUGCAAUAGCUCCAUUAUUAUCACAAUAUAGAGCUAUUGGUCCUUUAAUGGAGGGGACUACACCAAGUUCACCUAUGAACUUCCUUAGCCAAAUACCUUCCUUUGCUGCUUCAUGUGCAGCAAUGUACUCCGCUUCAGUUGUAGAAUCCGCAAUGGUGCUUUGCUUAGCACUUUUCUAGCUUACUGCACCUCCGUUGAGGCAGAAGACAAACCCAAACUGUGAUCUGAAAUCAUCUUUGUCGGUUUGGAAACUCGCGUCCAUAUAGCCUUUAACAAUUAAUUCAUCAUCUCCACCAUAGACCGGGAAAUCAUCUUUGUGCCUCUUCAGGUACUUCAUAAUAUUCUUGGCAGCAGUCCAAUGUGCCUCUCCUGGGUCUGACUGGUAUCUUCUUGUAGCACUGAGUGCGUACACAAAAUCCGGGCAUGUACAUAUCAUAGCAUACAUUAUUGAACCAAUCAAUGAUGCAUAUGGAAUCCCACCCAUUAGACUACGCUCAUCCAGUGUUUUUGGGCACCGAGUCUUUCUUAGAGUCAUUCCAUGAGACAUGGGUAGGUAGCCUCGCUUGGAGUCUGCCAUAUUGAACCUUUCAAGCACCUUAUUGAUAUAAGUGCUUUGACUGAGUCCAAUCAUCCUUUUAGAUCUAUCUCUGAAAAUCUUGAUGCCCAAUAUGUACUACGCUUCUCCUAGAUCUUUCAUCGAAAAAAAUUUCCCAAGCCAAAUCUUGACUGAGUUCUGUUAGGUUAUGAUACAUAUGACAAUUCAUAAAUCAUGCGAAAACAACCAUUUAGCCAGGAAUACAUAUUAUUUACACAUAAUCAUAUAGCAUAAUUUAGAUGCAUACUCUUUGUUGCGUGCCUUCCCUAGCUGCGCCCGAACCGAACAAGAACAAGUGUUUAGGACUCCAAGUGUCGUCCCUCCGUAGAUAGUCCACAGCACGUCCGGAUCCGCCUUAAGAUUGACCAACUAGAAUCGCCCUUAAGGUACUAGAAUUUUCGGC